GCGCCUGUGGCCUAACGGAUAAGGCAACAGCCUCCGGAGCUGUGUAUGACAGUUCAAUUCUGUCCAGGCGCGCCA
rnacentral:tRNA from 1 species